CUGGCUCAGAUUGAACGCUGGCGGCGUGCUUAACACAUGCAAGUCGCGCGUGAAAGUCCUUCGGGAUGAGUAAAGCGGCGCACGGGUGAGUAACGCGUGGAUGAUCUACCCAUGAGUGGGAAUAACGUUGGAAACGAUCGCUAAUACCCGGUACGUUCCGAUUUCAACUUCGGAGAAAGGGGGCCUCUGCUUGCAAGCUUCUGCUCAUGGAUGAGUCCGCGUCCCAUUAGCUAGUUGGUGAGGUAACGGCUCACCAAGGCAUCGAUGGGUAGCCGGUCUGAGAGGAUGACCGGCCACACUGGGACUGGAACACGGCCCAGACUCCUACGGGAGGCAGCAGUGGGGAAUAUUGCGCAAUGGGCGAAAGCCUGACGCAGCGACGCCGCGUGAGGGAUGAAAGGUCUUCGGAUCGUAAACCUCUGUCAAGAGGGAAGAAACGUCAGGGUGCUAAUCAGCCCUGAUCUGACGGUACCUCUAAAGGAAGCACCGGCUAACUCCGUGCCAGCAGCCGC
rnacentral:rRNA from 1 species